CCACCACCACCCCCCGCCCGCCCGCGCUCCCGGCCUCCCUGGGCUGUGGGUCCACCCCUCCUGGGCCCUGGCGGGGUGGGGGAAGGUCACUUUGGGACGCUGGACGCGCGAGGACUCUGCCCAGCUCCGCCCCGCCUCCCGCUCCUGCACCUGCCGCCCCCUCGCACUCCCCGCCACUGCGGUUGCAGUUCCGGCCCUUCCCUCUCCUUGCAGGCCGGCCCAGCCGGCAGCCCCGGUUCCUGACUGCCCGGCUGUGCUCCUUGUGGGCGGCCUGAACCACCUCGAGCUGGACAAUGGCCAAACCCACCCAGGGCGCUAGCACGGAGCCAGGGCUCGGGAGGGGUAGCCCUCCGUGAGCUGUCCCAUCGAAACCGGUUGCAACUUUCGCCACUCUAGACCCCAGGCGACAAUGUCUGCACGUGACCCAGCCACCGAGGACUUUCUUUGAUGCCAGGUACCCUGGUUCUGAGGAGAUCAGAGUUCAGUGGAGCUGAUGUUUAUGUAUGAUCUGGACACUCACAUCUUGCCAACUACUGUUACCACAAGGCUAUGCCUUAAUGGCUUUUUUGAGCCAACGCCUCUCUAACAGUGACAUCAGGCUCUUAUAGGGUAAAUUUGCUUCUGUGGCCUGAGUCCAGAACACACCCUAGUCUUCUCCGAAGAGAAGGAGAGUCAGGGAAGGAAGAGAUUUUGUAAUGUGGACAGUGUUCAGUGUUCAUCGCUGAGGAAUCGAGCGUCAGUUUGCAUUCGUCAUGGGCUGAGGACCCCGCAGCUGUUGGAAGGCCAGCAGCAGUGUAAAGCCCAGGAGCAAGAGGUGUGAAUGAAGAACCCUUGAAAUUGACCCCAGCUGUAGCCACUCACCAGACUUGCCUCAAUCUCAUGGGAGACCGCGAGUCAGACUAGCUCAGCUCAGCUGCUCUCAAAUACCUGGCCCACAAAACCUGCAAGAGCUAAUAAACAACAUUGCUUUGCUGGAACCAUGAGGAGGGGCUUUGUCUAAUACUGAUAGUCUGGAAAUCAACUGGCAUCAUAAUUCUAACAAGGAGGCAAGGUUUCACUCUAUCAACCAGACUGGAG